UGGCUCUGUAAUCUACUUCAUAACUCCAUGGUUGGAUGAGGGCGGGAAAGAGCACUUAGAGGCUGCCAUUUUGUGCCAGGCACCGUACUUGGUUCUCUACAAAUGUUACUUCAUUUCUUCUACACACAGUCCUGUGGAGGGAGAUAUUUUCCCUCCCUCCCUCCCUCCCUCCCUCCCUUCCUUCUUUCCUUCUUUCCUUCUUCCUUUUUUGCUCUUUCUUUCUUUUCUUCCUUUCUCUCUCCCUCCCUCCCUUCCUUCGUUCUUUUUUUUUUCCAGGGUCUAGCUCUGUCACUCAGGCUGGAGUGCAGUGGUAGAAUCUCGGCUCACGGCAGCCUCAACCUCCCAGGCUCAGGGAGGUAUUUUCUCUUUCUUUGUUUGUUUCUCUUUCUUUUUUGUCUUUCUUUUAUUUUUAUUUUUCUCUCUUUGCUUUUUUUUUUUUUUUUUUUAAACAGGGUCUAACUCUGUCAUCCAACCUCCCAGGCUCAAGCUAUCCUCCCACUUCAGCCUCCCAAGUAGCUGGGACUACAGGCGUCACCAUGCCCGGUUAAUUUUUAGAUUUUUAAAUUAUGUUGCCCAGGCUCAGAGAAGUAAAGUGACCUGGCCAAAAAUCACACAAUUGGUUAGUGAUGACCCCAAGAUUUCAACCCUUUUCUGUGAAUUCCAAAACGGAUUCUUUGCACGAAUUUUCCUGAUUGUGUAAGAUUCGAAGCCCUCGCCCUGGGCGCCAGGGUUCCUGGAGGGCGGAGUCCGGCAGGGCGAGGGUAGUCUGGUGGGCGGGAAGGGACUGGCCGCAUAAAGCAAACAGCGCAGCCCACUUUGGCCUCCAGCCGCCCCGGUCCUGGCUCUUGGCCCCGCUGGGAUCUGGGGUGUCUGGCCAUGCGUGAGCACGAGGUGGCGCUGCGGGCCGGGAGCCUCCGCACGGGCAGGGAGGGGCCGCGCGGACUCCCGGGUCGGCGAGGCCCGCCGGGGCUUCCGCUCUCCUUAUGGCUGGCAGGAGGAAGCUGCAGCUCGGGCGGAGGUGACCUGCUCCAGAACUGAUUGCCGCAGAAGCCCCCUCCUUCCCUUCGCUGCCCUCCGCACGCUUUGGCCCUGUCUUUAAGGCCUUUUUGUUCCAUGGCCCUCCCGCAAGGACUCCUUCCACAAGCGGGGACUUGGGAAGACCCGGACCCAUUGGGUGAAAGUACCGUGAUCCCUACCUCCAUCUGAAUCCUCUCCUGUCCCAGGAAAUGUAGGGGAAGCCUGAUUACAAGAUGGGCAAGCUCCCACCAGUGCAUAUGGCCUGAAUGUUCUGGGCACAGAGUAGGGAUCAGGAAAAACCUGUCAUUGGUGAUGAUGGUAGACAUUCCCUGUAGACUGGCCAGUUAGAAGGAAGAACUUGGUGACAGCAGAGCCACCCAGAUGAGCUCCAAGUGUGAUCUCUGUCAGUGGAAGUGUGCAAACAGGAGCUGGGGUACCAUAGCAGCUGAAGCACCAAGGAAGAACAAAAUACUGUUGCAGUUCAGAGGAGGGAGGUGGAAGGGGCCAAGGAAGCUUCUGCGGGCGGGCAAGAACUAGGUCUACUGGAUAGGAAGGAGGUUGAGAGACAGGGGUGAGGGCAAGGGCAAGGUCCCACAGUAACGCCUGAGCAAGAGAACAGGUGUGCAAGGGCCUGCAUGCUCAUGGCUAUGGCUGGAGCUGGGGUGGCAGGAACAGUGGGGUAGGGCCACGGGAGAUGAGAGGUGAACAGGGUGCAGGAACUCCCUCCUUCACGUCACCUUACUCCCCAAAUCCUGAGAUUAUCAGGCUUUUCAGGGAGAACAAGCUGCCCAGGGCAGGGCCUAACCUGAUUCAUCUUUGUGGCCCCAGAGCCCAGCCCAGGGAUUGCCAGUGGACACUGGCUGAGUAAAGCAAAGAACUUUUUAUAGUGUUUAUUAAAUCAAGGACCGGUUAGAUAGAUGAUGGGCUAGGCAGGUGGGGGAAGACAGAGCCCAGGACAAUAUUACAAAAGUGAACAAAU
rnacentral:lncRNA from 10 species